rnacentral:rRNA from 1 species
UGGGGAAUAUUGGACAAUGGGCGCAAGCCUGAUCCAGCCAUACCGCGUGGGUGAAGAAGGCCUUCGGGUUGUAAAGCCCUUUUGUUGGGAAAGAAAUCCAGCUGGCUAAUACCCGGUUGGGAUGACGGUACCCAAAGAAUAAGCACCGGCUAACUUCGUGCCAGCAGCCGCGGUAAUACGAAGGGUGCAAGCGUUACUCGGAAUUACUGGGCGUAAAGCGUGCGUAGGUGGUCGUUUAAGUCCGUUGUGAAAGCCCUGGGCUCAACCUGGGAACUGCAGUGGAUACUGGACGACUAGAGUGUGGUAGAGGGUAGCGGAAUUCCUGGUGUAGCAGUGAAAUGCGUAGAGAUCAGGAGGAACAUCCAUGGCGAAGGCAGCUACCUGGACCAACACUGACACUGAGGCACGAAAGCGUGGGGAGCAAACAGGAUUAGAUACCCAGGUAGUCCCUGAGCGGGCUGGCAAGGCGCAU